rnacentral:rRNA from 1 species
GGAUUAGAUACCCUGGUAGUCCACGCCGUAAACGAUGAGUGCUAGGUGUUGGUGGUCUUUACCCCAUCAGUGCCGCAGUUAACGCAUUAAGCACUCCGCCUGGGGACUACGGUCGCAAGAUUAAAACUCAAAGGAAUUGACGGGGGCCCGCACAAGCAGUGGAGUAUGUGGUUUAAUUCGACGCAACGCGCAGAACCUUACCCGGCCUUGACAUCCUUGGAAUCUCCUGGAAACAGGAGAGUGCUUUCGCAAGAAAGAACCAGGUGACAGGUGCUGCAUGGCUGUCGUCAGCUCGUGCUG